GUUCCGUCCAAAUUCCCCCUCCAAAAGCUGGAUGGCAGCGAAAAACCCUUCCGAAGGCCUCAUUAGGUUUGCCGUUGCCGUGUAUUUUUUUGCCUCCAGGAAGGGGUGGUCCUCACUUGUGGCGUAGCUGUGGUCCUGAUGUCUGGCACCCAACAACAGCACCUCACAGUGUGGACAGGCCUGAACAAUUUCCUCCUUUUGAAGGACCCGGACAAGCCAGCCAGCAACGGUGGUAGGGAGGGCCAUUGAGGUCAUUGGAGCUGUUGAGGUGGAGGGGAUUGCGUCCUCUGACAUACUGGCUUGGAGGGUUGUCCCGUCAUCCAGCUCGCAGUUUGAUGCAGUCGAUGCAGAAAGAGCAGGUUGUUCCUGAUUGAUUUCAGAAGGUGAGGGACAUCAAAAAUCACAGGAACCCUCUGAACCCCCACCAGGAUACAGUGGGACUCCUCACCUCCCAGAGGGUCCAGGCUAGCCCCAAGCCCUAUAUGAUGUAGGUGGCGAAUGGCAUCCUUAAUGACGGUAGCAAUAUCAUCUGCUGGCAUUGAAGAUGGGGAAAAGAAGUAACCAACCGUCUGUUGAAAGAAAUGCCUUAGGACGAGCGUACACAUCCUCUCCACAGGGGUCAUGGUGGCGGCGAUGACUCCCAUUUGGGAGAUGAUUCCCUGUAGGAAGCCAGGCUGUCAGGAAAUAAAAGUUGUGCCCUAAUGAAGUUCCGGCAGCCCUCAGGACACCUCUGGAGCCUCUCCUCCAUAAUUUCAUGGGGACUACGAAAGAACAAGAGGUGGGGAGGCAACUGGUGGCGGGUUGUCGCAAUCCACCAGUGUGGGGAUGGCAUCUCUGUUGGACCUUGAUGCUGUGACAACGGACAAGUCUUCUUCCUCUUUUAUUAUAUUGUUGUUCCUCGGUCCUUUUUUCCCUGCCUAUGUUCAGUGUUCAGUUCUCUUUUUUUUUUUUUUUUUUAUUAUUUACUAUGUUACUGUUCUUAUUGUGUUCUUGUGUGAUGUUUGAAUAAACUUGCCUGUUGCAAUGUUGGUAUGUUUGUAUAAUUACUGUUAUACAACUGUUACUGUUUCAACGUGUCCUAGACCAUACUUCUCAUUUAACAAACAUGUGUAGCUUAUAAUGUGUUGCAGGGCAGAGCAAUUAUAUUCAAUGGCUUAAAACAAACCCAUCUGUAAAGAUCACUGAAUGCAUAGACAUCAAUGACAAGUGGUGUAGA
ensembl:lncRNA